GGCCUCAUAGUUCAAGGGAUAGAAUAGGAGUUUCCUAAACUCUAGAUCCAGGUUCGAGUCCUGGUGAGGCUACAA
rnacentral:tRNA from 1 species